UACGAAGGGGGCUAGCGUUGUUCGGAAUUACUGGGCGUAAAGCGUGCGUAGACGGUUAUUUAAGUCGGAUGUGAAAGCCCCGGGCUCAACCUGGGAAUUGCAUUCGAGACUGAAUAGCUAGGGUGCGGUAGAGGGAAGCGGAAUUUCCGGUGUAGCGGUGAAAUGCGUAGAUAUCGGAAGGAACAUCAGUGGCGAAGGCGACUACCUGGCCUGUUCUUGACGCUGAGGCGCGAAAGCUAGGGGAGCAAACGGG
rnacentral:rRNA from 1 species